rnacentral:rRNA from 1 species
ACUCCUACGGGAGGCAGCAGUGGGGAAGUCUUGCGCAAUGGGCGAAAGCCUGACGCAGCCAUGCCGCGUGAAUGAUGAAGGUCUUAGGAUUGUAAAAUUCUUUCACCGGGGACGAUAAUGACGGUACCCGGAGAAGAAGCCCCGGCUAACUUCGUGCCAGCAGCCGCGGUAAUACGAAGGGGGCGUAGCGUUGCUCGGAAUUACUGGGGCGUAAAGGGAGCGUAGGCGGACAUUUAAGUCAGGGGUGAAAUCCCGGGGGCUCAACCUCGGAAUUGCCUUUUGAUACUGGAUGUCUUGAGUGUGAGAGAGGUAUGUGGAACUCCGAGUGUAGAGGUGAAAUUCGUAGAUAUUCGGAAGAACACCAGUGGCGAAGGCGACAUACUGGCUCAUUACUGACGCUGAGGCUCGAAAGCGUGGGGAGCAAACAGGAUUAGAUACCCUGGUAGGAUAGC